AUGGCACAAACGUUUGGGACAC
rnacentral:siRNA from 1 species